GUAGAUAGGUAAGUGUGUAGGUAGAUAGGUAAGUGUGUAGGUAGAUAAGUGUGUAGGUAGGUAGAUAAGUGUGUAGGUAGGUAGAUAAGUGUGUAGGUAGGUAUAUAAGUGUGUAGGUAGGUAUAUAAGUGUGUAGGUAGGUAGAUAAGUGUGUAGGUAGGUAGAUAAGUGUGUAGGUAGGUAGAUAAGUGUGUAGGUAGAUAGAUAAGUGUGUAGGUAGAUAGAUAAGUGUGUAGGUUGGUAGACAGGUGUGUAGGUAGACAAGUGUGCAGGUAGGUAAGUGUGCAGGUAGAUAAGUGGGUAGGUAGGUAAGUGGGUAGGUAGGUAGAUAGGUGGGUAGGUGGGUAGAUAGGUGGGUAGGUGGGUAGAUAGGUGUGUAGGUAGAUAGGUGUGUAGAUAGAUAAGUGUGUAGGUAGAUAGAUAAGUGUGUAGGUAGAUAAGUGGGUAGGUAGGUAGAUAAGUGGGUAGGUAGAUAAGUGUGUAGGUAGGUAGAUAAGUGUGUAGGUAGGUAGAUAAGUGUGUAGGUAGGUAGAUAAGUGUGUAGAUAGAUAAGUGUGUAGGUCGGUAGAUAAGUGUGUAGAUAGAUAAGUGUGUAGAUAGAUAAGUGUGUAGGUCAGUAGAUAAGUGUGUAGGUCGGUAGAUAAGUGUGUAGGUCGGUAGAUAAGUGUGUAGGUAGGUAGAUAAGUGUGUAGGUAGGUAGAUACGUGUGUUGGUGGGUAGGUAGAUACGUGUGUUGGUGGGUAGGUAGAUACGUGUGUUGGUGGGUAGAUAGGUGUGUAGGUAGAUAAGUGUGUAGGUAGAUAAGUGUGUAGGUAGGUAGAUAAGUGUGUAGGUAGGUAGAUAAGUGUGUAGGUAGGUAGAUAAGUGUGUAGGUAGGUAGAUAAGUGUGUAGGUAGGUAGAUAAGUGUGUAGGUAGGUAGAUAAGUGUGCAGGUAGAUAGAUAAGUGUGCAGGUAGAUAAGUGGGUAGGUAGGUAGAUAAG
rnacentral:lncRNA from 1 species